ensembl:rRNA 5S_rRNA 5S ribosomal RNA
GUUUAUGGCCAUAGCACCUUAAACAAGCCAGGUCUCAUCUGAUCUUGGAAGCUAAGCAAGGUUGGGCCUGGUUAGUACUUGGAUGCGAGACAAUCUGGUAAUACCGGAUGCUGUAGGCU